rnacentral:sRNA from 1 species
UAUAGUCCAACUAUCAAAUAGAGAAGUUGGAAGAGGGUGGCUAAAUCUCAAAAAAAUUGAGGGUGAUGCCUAUGUUUGUUUUGGCAGAUCCGAAAAAGGAGUAAGUAUGUCAAGUACAUGAGGCGUUAACGCUAAGGUUCGCUUUUGCGCCAUUAGUUAUACGUAGCAUUGAUAA